rnacentral:rRNA from 1 species
UGGUCAAGUUAUUAAGGGUGCAGGGCGGAUGCCUUGGCACUAGGAGCCGAUGAAGGACGUGAUAAGCUGCGAUAAGCUUCGGGGAGUUGCACGUAAACUUUGAUCCGAAGAUUUCCGAAUGAGGAAACUCACUUAGAGUAAUGUCUAAGUAUCAUUAAGUGAAUACAUAGCUUAAUGAGGGGAACUCAGGGAACUGAAACAUCUAAGUACCUGAAGGAAGAGAAAGAAAUUCGAUUCCGUAAGUAGCGGCGAGCGAACGCGGAUUAGCCCAAACCAAUAAAGUUUUCUUUAUUGGGGUUGCGGACAUAUCAUAACGAAGAGGUAUCGUAAUUGAAGAGGUUUGGAAAGAUCCACCACAGAAGGUAAUAGUCCUGUAUGUUAAACGAGAAGACUUUAGAUAUGAUCCAGAGUACCACGGGACACGUGAAACCCUGUGGGAAGCAGGAGGGACC